CUUUGGCAACUAGAUGCAGUGCUAGGCUUCACUCUGCAAGGUGUUUAAAAAGAAAAACAGGUUUACUCAGGAUUUAUCAUGGAGUGGAAUAAGAGUGCCUCUCUCUCUAGAUGGGAACUUUGCUUCAUGGGACAUUACAACUGUAUGCCUUAAGGCAGAAAAGCGCAUAAAGGUACCUGGGAAAGUAAAUUGCCAGAAGCGAAGAGCACCCCCCUUUCAAAAUCCUGUAAGUACUCCUCUCUCUCACAUCAAACCGACCCUAUGCAGAG
rnacentral:lncRNA from 1 species